GGCUCAGGACGAACGCUGGCGGCGUGCUUAACACAUGCAAGUCGAACGGUGAUGUCAGAGCUUGCUCUGGCGGAUCAGUGGCGAACGGGUGAGUAACACGUGAGUAACCUGCCCCCGACUCUGGGAUAACUGCUAGAAAUGGUAGCUAAUACCGGAUAUGACGACUGGCCGCAUGGUCUGGUUGUGGAAAGAAUUUCGGUUGGGGAUGGACUCGCGGCCUAUCAGGUUGUUGGUGAGGUAAUGGCUCACCAAGCCUACGACGGGUAGCCGGCCUGAGAGGGUGACCGGCCACACUGGGACUGAGACACGGCCCAGACUCCUACGGGAGGCAGCAGUGGGGAAUAUUGCACAAUGGGCGCAAGCCUGAUGCAGCAACGCCGCGUGAGGGAUGACGGCCUUCGGGUUGUAAACCUCUUUUAGUAGGGAAGAAGCGAA
rnacentral:rRNA from 1 species